rnacentral:rRNA from 1 species
AUGUUGGAGGAUCAUCUUGAGAAGAAAGAAAGGAAGCAGGAGGGCCAAGGGAAAAAAAUGGCAGAUCAUAGGAGGAGGUCAAAAUCCCUAGACGCCCUGAUUCCCAAAAUCAGGCCUGGCAUCUCUCUCUUUCCCUCAUCCUCCUUCUCCACCGACGGCCGCCACCACGGCCAGGCCGACGUGGUGGUGCGCCAUCCACCAGCGCCACCAUCUUCUUCUCCUUCCCCGAAUUCACCAUCAUCCAUCCACACCGCCGUCACCAGCGCCACCGCCACCUGCACCACAGCGCCUCCCCACACCUCACGCAAUCCACCAGACAGAUGGUCGGCGGUGUCUGAUGCCCCGCGCGACUCUCCUUGCCUGCGGUUGCUGCUUCUUCCCUUACCUCUGCUGCUGCUCUUCCUUGCGCCCCUGUGCUGCUGCCCUUCUUCUCCCCUUGCUACUGCUCCUCUCUUCUCUCACCGCUCCCUGCUGCUUCCCUCUUCUCCAUCUCCCAACUCCAAGUCGAUGCUGCGCCUCCUUCUUCAACCUACUGCUGCUCGCCCUCAACCAAUGCUGCUGCUUCUCUCUUCCUGA